rnacentral:lncRNA from 1 species
UGCUGGUGGCUCUCAUGUGAACACCUGGGGCCUGUGCAUGUUCCCUGGGAGAUGGAGCCCACGUCCUCUACUCACAGUGUGACUGUACUCCUUCCCCAGCCCCAGAGCCCUCGGAUCCCUGGGGCAGAGAGUGCCUGCGGCUCUUGCAACAGCUGCACAAGAGCUCCCAGCAACUCUGGGAGGUGACGGAGGAAAGCCUGCACUCACUGCAGGAGAGGCUGCGUUACCCGGACUCCACCGGUCUGGAGUCCCUGCUGCUGCUGCGAGGUGCUGACCGUGUACUGCAGGCCCACAUAGAGUACAUUGAGUCCUACACAAGCUGCAUGGUGGUGCAGGCCUUCCAGAAGGCAGCAAAGAGGAGAAGCGAGUACUGGCGGGGCCAGCGGAAGGCGCUGCGGCAGCUGCUUUCAGGUGUGAGCUCAGAGGGCUCAGUGGGCGCAUUGCUGGGCCAGGCCCUCCACCAGCCACUCGCCCAUCACGUGCAACAGUACGUGCUCCUCCUGCUGAGCCUCGGGGACACCAUUGG